CGACAGCGGUAUCAACUCCAGAGCCGUAGUGAAUUAAUUGCUCGGCUUACGUCUUCCGGAGCUGUUUCCUCCAGCGAUCUUGUCUUUGUCGACAAGGGUCAGACCGUCGCAAUGCGAACUCGGUUUCUCGACAUCUUUUCGCGAGAGGAGGAGUCCGCGCUAUACAUGCAAUCGAUCGAUCA
rnacentral:misc_RNA from 1 species